ensembl:lincRNA
UAUAGGAAGAAUCCAAUGGCGUCAACCUACCUCCAGUUGCUGGCUGAGCCCUCCUGGCAAUGUUACCAUAGCUUCCUAUAUAUCUCAAACAGCAAAGGAAACUCAUAUUUUCUCUUGUUGAUUGUGAUGGUUUAAGGGACUACUUAUCGCUGCACAUCCACAUGCUAAGAAUACUGCCCUCAAACCCGCCAGGUUCAGGAAAUCAUUCAUAUAUUCCCGUCUUCUCAGUGACUAUCUAUACCCAUCACAGUACCGAUUGGGCACUGGAAUAGUCCUCCACGCAUUUAAAGCUAAAAGACCGAUUGUAAAUUCUUACAUGGUUCAUAGAACAUUUGAAGUUCUGAAGAAAAAGAAUGCACCACACCUUGCCUAUCAGCAGCCUUGGAGAUACUGUCCAGGCACAGAGAUAUCUACUAUUGUUGCUGGCACAAGAUCCACUGUUCUUUUUCGGACUUGCUUUCAGUACAACCAUGCCUAUGAAAAUGUCAUUCGUUACCUCGGGAAUGAUGGUGGAAUGAAGAGGCUAACACCAAACUGGAAGAAGAUCAAUGAGCUUCAUGUAGAUAAAAAUAAGCAUGUUACCUGA